rnacentral:rRNA from 1 species
UACGGAGGGGGCAAGCGUUGUCCGGACUUACUGGGCGUAAAGGGUGCGUAGGCGGUGGGGUGCGUUCGCCCUGAAAGCACCGGGCUCAACCCGGUGAGGCGGGCGAAUACGACCCGACUGGAGGCUCAGAGAGGGUGGCGGAACUCCUGGUGUAGUGGUGAUAUGCGUAGAGAUCAGGAAGAACACCCGUGGCGCAAGCGGCCACCUGGCUGAGUACUGACGCUGAGGCACGAAAGCGUGGGGAGCGAACCGG